AUUGAUCAGCCAAAAGGGCUGUGAAUAUCCUUAAACUAAAUAAAUUAAUGAAAAAAAAGUCACAAGCAUGUUAAUAUAUAAUUAAUGACCAUGCAGGAGCGGCAUAGAUAAGUUAUACUACAUAGAACUUGAAAAAGAGUACUGAAAAAGAAAAAAAAAAGAAGGUUUAAGGUGAAUACUCGUUCGGAUUGAUUAUGAAUAGCAGCGGCUCUGCUUCUCUUGGUUGAAACUGAUGAUUUGCCUCCGCCUUUCUUCUCUUCUUCGUCCUCCAUCUAUAUCAGUUCUUGCCAGUGGGCGGCUGUGGCAGACUGAGUCAUGAUCAUCGAUGGUGUUAUCAGGCGAGCCCAUGGAUGUUGAGGUGAAACCGACGUCGUAAGUGUCCAUGGUCAGGCGCUGACUCCCGCUCCCGCUCCACUCCGGCGCCAC